CGGGUAUAGUUCAAUGGUAGAACGAGAGCUUCCCAAGCUUUUAAUGCGAGUUCGAUUCUCGUUACCC
rnacentral:tRNA from 1 species